GAUGAACGCUGGCGGCGUGCCUAAUACAUGCAAGUCGAGCGAACGGACGAGAAGCUUGCUUCUCUGAUGUUAGCGGCGGACGGGUGAGUAACACGUGGAUAACCUACCUAUAAGACUGGGAUAACUUCGGGAAACCGGAGCUAAUACCGGAUAAUAUUUUGAACCGCAUGGUUCAAAAGUGAAAGACGGUCUUGCUGUCACUUAUAGAUGGAUCCGCGCUGCAUUAGCUAGUUGGUAAGGUAACGGCUUACCAAGGCAACGAUGCAUAGCCGACCUGAGAGGGUGAUCGGCCACACUGGAACUGAGACACGGUCCAGACUCCUACGGGAGGCAGCAGUAGGGAAUCUUCCGCAAUGGGCGAAAGCCUGACGGAGCAACGCCGCGUGAGUGAUGAAGGUCUUCGGAUCGUAAAACUCUGUUAUUAGGGAAGAACAUAUGUGUAAGUAACUGUGCACAUCUUGACGGUACCUAAUCAGAAAGCCACGGCUAACUACGUGCCAGCAGCCGCGGUAAUACGUAGGUGGCAAGCGUUAUCCGGAAUUAUUGGGCGUAAAGCGCGCGUAGGCGGUUUUUUAAGUCUGAUGUGAAAGCCCACGGCUCAACCGUGGAGGGUCAUUGGAAACUGGAAAACUUGAGUGCAGAAGAGGAAAGUGGAAUUCCAUGCGUAGCGGUGAAAUGCGCAGAGAUAUGGAGGAACACCAGUGGCGAAGGCGACUUUCUGGUCUGUAACUGACGCUGAUGUGCGAAAGCGUGGGGAUCAAACAGGAUUAGAUACCCUGGUAGUCCACGCCGUAAACGAUGAGUGCUAAGUGUUAGGGGGUUUCCGCCCCUUAGUGCUGCAGCUAACGCAUUAAGCACUCCGCCUGGGGAGUACGACCGCAAGGUUGAAACUCAAAGGAAUUGACGGGGACCCGCACAAGCGGUGGAGCAUGUGGUUUAAUUCGAAGCAACGCGAAGAACCUUACCAAAUCUUGACAUCCUUUGACAACUCUAGAGAUAGAGCUUUCCCCUUCGGGGGACAAAGUGACAGGUGGUGCAUGGUUGUCGUCAGCUCGUGUCGUGAGACGUUGGGUUAAGUCCCGCAACGAGCGCAACCCUUAAGCUUAGUUGCCAUCAUUAAGUUGGGCACUCUAAGUUGACUGCCGGUGACAAACCGGAGGAAGGUGGGGAUGACGUCAAAUCAUCAUGCCCCUUAUGAUUUGGGCUACACACGUGCUACAAUGGACAAUACAAAGGGCAGCGAAACCGCGAGGUCAAGCAAAUCCCAUAAAGUUGUUCUCAGUUCGGAUUGUAGUCUGCAACUCGACUACAUGAAGCUGGAAUCGCUAGUAACCGUAGAUCAGCAUGCUACGGUGAAUACGUUCCCGGGUCU
rnacentral:rRNA from 1 species